rnacentral:lncRNA from 1 species
CAGGGCUCGCUUGACCCCCCAAAUCCAUCUAGAGAGGGAGCUCGAUUCAAUCAAACCCUGCAGGCUUGAGGGCAGAAGCUAACCUGCCACAUCCGCCUCUGUCCAACUGCAAGCAUGGAUGGUCGCUGCAGGAGUUAAGACAGCCAGCGUCAGGCGCACCGGUUGUGGGGUUACAGUGGGGACCGGACAUGGUGCGACCCUUCAGAAACAGCAUCCAUUGAUGCAGCCCUCUCUGCAGAAGCCUGACUCCUGUGUUCCCCGCAGCCUCUGGAGGGAGGCUGAGGCAGGAGGAUCACCCAGAGCCCAAGGCCAGGUUACAUAGUGAGUUCAAGGCCAGUCUGGACUAUAUAGUGAGACUUGUCUCAAGAAACAUGGUAAAUGAGCCCUCCGAAAAAGAAACAAGAAAAGUCAGACCAGGGUAAAACUUGUACUCGGAGCCUAGAACACACAGGAUAAAAAGAAAGAAUUCGUUUGGCAAGGUUGAAAUUUGGAAGGUCCGCC